rnacentral:rRNA from 1 species
UACGUAGGGUGCGAGCGUUGUCCGGAAUUAUUGGGCGUAAAGGGCUCGUAGGCGGUUUGUCGCGUCGGGAGUGAAAACCAGGUGCUUAACACCUGGCUUGCUUUCGAUACGGGCAGACUAGAGGUAUGCAGGGGAGAACGGAAUUCCUGGUGUAGCGGUGAAAUGCGCAGAUAUCAGGAGGAACACCGGUGGCGAAGGCGGGUCUCUGGGCCGGAACUGACGCUGAGGAGCGAAAGCGUGGGGAGCGAACAGG